CUUCCAUAGCAGCUAUUGGGUGCCUGUGAUAAACAGCUGUGGCAUGUGUCACUGUCUUCCAAGAUCACAGCUCUGCUAUUCAGAUCAUUGUAUAAGAGGGUUGCACCACUCACUCGGGCAAAAGCUGUGCAGCUGAAGGCGAGCUUACAAUAUCAUGGGGAAUACUACAAGUGAUCGCUUUUCUGGAGACCGGCAUGGCUCAAAGUCGCAGCGCACUGAUGGAGCAGCUGGAGGGCAGACUGUGAAAGAACAAGAGGAAAACAAAAUAAUGGUUGAGAGUACAGAUGAUCCGAACGUAUUCAGCACUCAAGAAUCUAAGCUGUCUGGAGAUAAAGACUUUUCAACAUGGCAUCAGGACUCUGAGGAUUCAGGGAAAUUAACACAGCAAGGAAGACCCACUGUCAUCCGCUGGUCCGAAGGAGGCAAAGAGGUCUUUAUAUCUGGGUCAUUCAACAACUGGAGUGCCAAAAUUCCAUUAAUUAAAAGCCACAAUGAUUUUGUCGCAAUUUUGGAUCUUCCAGAGGGGGAGCAUCAGUACAAGUUUUUUGUGGAUGGUCAAUGGGUUCAUGACCCGUCUGAGCCUGUGGUUACCAGUCAGCUUGGGACAAUCAACAACUUGAUACAUGUCAAGAAGUCAGAUUUUGAAGUUUUUGAUGCUUUAAAACUCGAUUCAAUGGAAAGUUCGGACACAUCGGCAAGAGACUUGUCGAGUUCGCCACCUGGUUUUUACGGGCAGGAAUUGUAUACUUACAGACCAGAGGAAAGGUUUAAAUCUCCUCCCAUCCUUCCUCCACAUUUGCUCCAAGUCAUUCUAAACAAGGACACAAAUAUCUCGUGUGAUCCUGCUCUUCUUCCUGAACCAAAUCAUGUAAUGUUAAACCACCUGUAUGCUCUGUCCAUAAAGGAUGGUGUGAUGGUUCUUAGUGCUACUCACCGCUACAAGAAGAAAUACGUCACCACUUUGCUGUACAAGCCCAUUUAGAACAAAACUGUUGGUCUCAUGUGUGUAACAUAAUUUGGUAAAACAUCUACAUGGCUGAACAUAACAGAUCAGAAUAAGUUGGACAUUAGGUAAUUAAAAUUUGACACAGAUUCAUGAAGUGAAUUUUCAUAGCCUCUCUUUAAUAAUAAGAAUGGGGUGUAUGCAAUCUAACAGGAAGUAAGGUUGCUGUAGUGAGACAGAUUUUACUUCAACUCAUAAAAUGUCUGUCUUACCUGAUCUGAGGCUUGAGCGACAUCUUCUAUUAAAUUAUAAGUCAGAGUCUCUAAUAAGCAAUAUUAUGAAUAAUAAUGACUGUUUGGAUGUAUUACUGUCUUUAGAGGAACACUUUGAACUACAAGGCAAACAAUAUAGAUAUCUUCACUGUACCUUUCUGUGAUGGAGAACCAAUGUUUCUCAAUCAUUCUGAUCCAUGGGAAAAAUGGUUGUGGUAUGGAAUUUUGGUCAGAUUUUAAUAAUACUUUAAGAACAAGUGUUAUUUUGAUCUUUGUGGAGUGAAAAUGUCUGUUUCUAUUAACUAUGAAAAAUAUUUAUACAGCAUAGAAUAAUGUAAUUUUUAGAGGAUCGUUUUCAAUAGUUUAUUUAAAUUGAAUUAAAUUAAGGGCUAGUGAUUUGUGUAAUAGCAAUAACCCAUUAUACAACCACUGACCAGUAGCAGUAUUUAACUAUAUUUAUUACAGUAUUUAUUAACUACAUUUAGUCACAACUGUUCAUAAUAUCUUUUCAAAUUUAGAAUAAGUUUUAAAUAUCUAAUGUACACUACAAUAUUCCUAAAAGCUUGAAAUACUGGUAGAAUGCACUAUAAAUAUACUGUGGUAGUUAGGUUUACUGAAAGAAGUAGCAAUUUAUUUUGCCUGCACAGUAAAGUUACACCAAAAGGAUGUUUAUUAGCGUGUGUGCCUAAGUCACAUCGGCAGGAAAAUAGCCUCCACCCAGAGAAAAAUUACUGCACAGAUGUCAUCACAUGUUUACCAGAUGGCACAUGGUUUUCUAUGGAAAAAAAGAAGUGCAUUUUCUAGGCAGAAACCCUUCUCUCAGUGGCCCCAGUAAUCUCGCACUGCCAGUCAGGCCACCUAGGACAGUUUGACUGGGUAUGCACACUAGGAGUCAAAUUAACUCAUUAAGUGACACAGAGGAAAACAGUGUGAUGUGAUGGUCUCUCCUAUGGUGUUGGAGGAGAAAAGGAAAACACACCCAUCUGUCUGUGGAGUCCCACUAACAAUCCAAAAAUGCCCAGCAACACUCUUACUCCUACCCUAUGCAUGUCCAAAGGGAAUUUAUAUAAAAUAAAUAAAUGUAUUUUACCAUUUAAUUUGAGUGGGUGUUGGGUUGAGGGAUGGUAUUCUAAGUGUAUAAGGACACAUAGCCACCACCAAGGGUGUCAUUGAGCAUCCUUUGGCCAUAUGCGGAUAAGGGGACCUUCAGGCCACUUAUAUUGUCCUUAUUAGCAACCACCGUCAUAUUAUUAAUCCACCAAGCCAGGACAUAGGAGGAAUAAGGAUUAUGGGCCCUAACACCAUGUUAUUCCCUCCACCCCCCAGGGCUGAGCUACUCCACUCCAUUCAACUCCACUGCAAACAAGAAGGAGGAAGGGUAGAGGCCAUUUGCCAUUGCCUCACCCAGCAUAUUAUUCUCGUAGACCCAUUGCAUGUGGGGUGGAGGGAGAGUGAAGUCUCUCAUUGGGCCUCCUAGUUAUUUAAAGAGGUUAAGGUUUUUUGGGGAGGCGU